AAACUUACUUGGAAUUUUUAAUUUAACCAGUGUCUUAUUUAACUUGCUUAUAUAACACUAAAUAAUGGGGGUUCAGAUUUGCUUCUUUAAAUGUGUAUCAAAGAUAGUUUAUAAAAUCCACAGUAAUGGCAAAACCAAGGUUUUCCCUAAAUUCUGCAAACUGCAUCUUUCUGGGGUAACAGGAUCUCACCGACCUUGAUGAAAUCUUUUCCACUGUUUGGAAGAAUAUGGUUACUUUGUAGUUACCCUUUGCAACAAACGAGAAACAAAAUACACAUUUACGUCACCUUCCUCACAUCUCAGUGGCCAGGAAUUAAAAACAAAACUCUAAUUUAGUUCACAUUUUUUUCCCCCAGAAAUGCUUGCUUAGAUGCUAAAGAGAAGGCAUAUGCUCUGAAGAGUCAGCACACUACGAAUGAUGCUGUGUUCUUAGCGCAGUGCUACCCUAACUUGCCAGGAAGAGAGAAAAUAGCAGAGCAGGAGAGUCACAGUACCCCACCCCACAGGAUCACUCACACCCCCCAGAGACACCGGGAAGAGAAAAAGCACAAAGUGAUGUACUGCAUGUUACAAGGAUUGGCUUCUUUUUUGUUUUUUCCCUGACAUAAGAAUGGAAACAACAGCAAAUGUCAUUUAUUGAGGACAUACUACAUGUUGGAGACUCUCUGUAUACUCUCUCAUCAAUGCUCAUAGCAAGUCUUUGAAGCAGACACUAUCACUCCUGUUUACAGGUGAAGAGAACAGCCAUUUCACUUCCCACUAAGGGCAUCUACAUCAAAUCUUCAGCAGUUUUCUUGAAAAUUGUCUCCUUGUUUAAAAGGUCCCAGAAUAGCUGAAAGAGAAUCAGUUGCAAUUUGGGUAUCAUCAUUCAAUCGUCCAUGCUUAAUUUUACUUUCUGAGGAAAAAUAAGUUUGAGAUACUUUUUAGGGUGACUUGACUUUAAGAGAUACAGUACACAACUAAAGAGCAGCAGGGUGAAUGUGCCCAGCAGAGUGAGGUGCUGCUAAACAGCAGCGCGCAGGGACUGAAGGGGGUUGAUUUGGAAAAAAGAAUGGUUAGGAAAGCGAUGAUGACUGAAUGCAAAAAGCCAUGAUACUGAAGAAAAAGUCAACUUUCCUCUUGUAAAUCCAAUUCCUGGAAUUGGCCCAGAGACCGAUUUCACCUCCAUAUGCAGAAUUAGAGUUGUGAAAAUAGACUAGGCUGCUUCAAAAGAUUCAUAUUUAUCAUAGAAAAUUUAGAAAAUGCAGACAAGUCAAAAUAGAAAAUAAAAAUCCCUCAUAAUUCCACCACUUAGAUAUUACUACUAUUAAUAUUUGGUAUAGAUUUUUCCAUAUGCAUACUGGAAAAGUACUGGGAGCGUCUAUCAAGGCUAUUAAAUAUUAUGAGCAUAAAGAGGCCAUGAGUUUCCCAUCAGGAAGUGUUCAGAGAUGUUUGAGAUUCCUGAAUUAGAUGGCAGGUUGAAUGACCUUUAAAGUGUGGUUUGGGAUCCCAGAAUGAUCACGAAAGAAUGGACAUUCUGGGAAAGUCAAACUAUCAUUUGAGACGAGGUGGGAUAAUAUAUAACAACUGAGGUUUCUUCUCCACCCUUCUUUGUACUUCUUGCCUUUCUCAAGAUUCAGUGGAGGCCGCAGUGGAAGAAGGGAUGAUACAGCAGAAAAGCAAAGUGCUUUGGAUUUCUGCAAGCUAAGGCAUUUGAAUGGCAAAGGACUGCACCUUUGAGUUUCAAAAGCCUAAGUGCCCAAGGACUGGGAGCUGAAGCUGUGGCCUAACUAGUGGAUUGGAAGGUAAAUGAAGAAUCAGGCUACCCUGCCGCCAGCCUAGAGAAAGAUUUUCUGGACUGGGAGGAGGAGAGUUAGGGAGAAGAGAGCUGAGGCUUUGUGAAGUCUCAUGGAAGUGGCUCUGUCCCGAGCCUCCCUAUCCCCCCUCCCUGGGUACACAGGCUGGUAGGAGGUUUGAGGAUUAUGAAGUCACACAGACCCUUAGUCUUCUCCUUGGGGAAAACCUAGGGAUAAAGCAAGAUUCUAGAGUUCUCCUUGUUGAAUAUAUCAGGAAUAGUUAAAUAGAAAUUACUGCGUGGUGUAUCCAGGCAAAGGUAGCAUAAGACAGCUUCCCAGAGAUCUGCCUGAACAGUGGCUGAAACCCAGACUUGAGACUGGAAGCUGGAGAUGAUGACUGGAAACCAGAAGGGAAUGAAGACCAGCCUGGACAGGUGACAAAAGCCAGACACUUUCUCCCCUCCUUAUCUGCUUUAUUAUCUUUCUCCAGUACAAUGUAAAUGUCUUGAGCACCAGGACUUCAUCUGUUCUUGUUUAGUGCUGCAUCCCUAGACCAAGGUUAGUGUUUGUCUCAUACUACUAUGUGCUCAAUAAAUAUUUAUUGAAAUACUGUAUAAAUGGAUGCUCUCCCUGCCUCCCACCAAAUGCUUAGGCCAUACGUAGCCCUCCAGAACUAGAAACAACCCAGGAAAAGGUCUAGAAGACUCUGAAUUGACUAAAUUUAAAUCAUUUAGAAGAAUUGGCCAUGAAAGAGAAAUUAAUUUUUAUAUGGUACAAUAAUUACGUUUCUCACACAUUUGAGUUUCAUACCUACUCUGAGAUGAAGAGAAGAAAUAUUUCUUGAGAGCUUGUUAGGGGCCUGCAAUUGUGCAAGGUGCCUUUCCUUCUCAUAUACUAUCUGACAAGAGAUUUCUAACAUGUACCCAGUUUGAACAAAACUGGUGAGAGGAGUUUAGAAUAGAAGGUAAUUUUUUUCUUUUUUUGCUGAGGAAGAUUAGCCCUGAGCUAACAUCUGUGCCAAUCUUCCUCCGCUUUAUAUGUGGGUCGCCACCACAGCAUGGUUGACGAGUGGUGUAGGUCUGCGCCCAGGAUCUGAACCCGUGAACCUGGGCCACUGAAGCAGAGUGCGCCAAACUUAACUACUAUGUCGUGGGGCUGCCCCCUAGAAGUGAGCCACCUUGUCCGAGGGCACUGACUGAGCUGCUGCAGAUAUAAAUGCGACCAUUCCUGACCACUGUGGGACAAUGGUGACCAGCUCUGUGUUCAUGAAGCAUUCCCCUCCACUCAAAAUUCAUGUUCUAUCAUCAACAAAACUGGGAUAAAACCAUCAUGCUACAUGUAUAGUACUUUAUAUUUUCCAAGUUUGUUCUGGUCAUUCUAUAGCAGAGAUUCUCAAUCCAGGCUGCAUGUUAAUGUCAUCUGUGGAGAAUUCAAAACCAUAUCAACGUCUGGGACUCACGUACAGAGAAUCUGUUGCAACUCGCCUCCAGUGAGGUCUGGGUACAAUAAAAGCUCUGCAUGUGAUUCUCUUGUACCCAAGGAGAGAACCACUGCUCUAGGGAGAACCUGCAAUCUGGACUUGCAGCAUCUUGAAUUAUUGUUCUACAUGUAUUGACUCUGUGGUCUUCAUAGGCCUUACCAGUUUUCUGAGUUUUCUAAACAAGAUUCCUUGUUUAGAAAGUGAAGUUAACGGUAAAACUGACCUCAUGAGUUGUAUUGAAGGUUAAAUAAAAAAUAUACACAAAAGUCCUUUGCAAAUUAUAGCAAUGUUAAUUUUUAUUAUAUGUGAUUACAUUCACUUCUGUCAAUUGUUAUUUUAUAAACAAGGAAAGGGAGAUUAGGACUCAUUGGUUUUCCCCUCUGGCUAGAGCUUUUAAGAAAGUAAAGGCAUAGAAUUUCUGAUGAGUAGUCGGGGCUGAGGCCCAGGUCUCUGAGUUUCUGAAAAGCUUCACAGGCAAAUCUGGCGUGCAGCUGGGUUUAAAGACUUUUUGGUUAAAUAACCUGUCCAAAGGUCAUACAGCCAAUUAAAUGAAAAAGCUGAGACUCAAAUCUAGACCUUUCCUUGCCUCUCUCGAGUUUUAUCUGCUAUUAUCCAUGCUGAGUUUUCCUUCUUGCACAUACAUCUUAUCAUAAUAUUAUAUGUUAGUCAUAAAAUAUAAUAAUAGAGAUAAAAAGGAUUUUGAAUUUAAAACAUAGUAUAAAUGAAAUGUGCUAUGAUUAUUAAGUAUUAAAAUAAUUACUCCUAUCCCAUUAGAACUAAACCAUAUGAUUUGUGUGCUUUUUAGUGAGUAAGAGGUGAAACUGUAGGUAACAAGGUAUCUUGAAGAUUAUAUGAACCAAGCAUAAAUUAAACAAACUGACAUCAAGGUUGAAAUAAUGUAAGCAAGCACAAACUAAAGCAUUUCAGUGAAUUCAAAAUAGAGUAAUGUACUGCUACUAUACUAUUGCUCUAUCUUGAGCAUGCCAACUUAAUUUGGCAUCAUGAAGGCAAAGAAUAGGUUAAAGACAGAGAGAAGGAUGAAUAGAGACAUGAAGAUGAUUUUAGUGUGAUCCUGACCAGGCCAUUCAUAUUUCUCAAAUAGCCUGGAAACAAUCUCAUACUUAUUGGAAGUUGUGACCUUUAAAUGUUCCUUCCUUGCAAAAAGACAAAUAUUCUAGAAGCUAGGUGUUAGCUUGUGGAGUCAUCUGUCCUGCCUGCUCUUCGAUUGGAGGCUACUGCAGGGACAGUGGGAACUGUAGAUGAGCAAAUGUCUUACUUAUUCUUUACAUUUGCAGACUUUAGGGUAAGCUUUCCUUGACAGCUCCCUGAUUUCUUUAACAUAGCAAAUCUUCAAUCAGUCUAGAUAUGUUAAAAUGUGAUUUUUACAGUGAAUUGAUCUGAGUUGAGUACUUGAGUUGAAAUGUGUAUUUUUCCCCCUCUAAAGCUGACUUGUAGGGAAAAAAAAAUCAGAUAGUCUAUGUUAUACUUUGCCUUAGUGACAAGAUGUUUGGGGGAAAUCAUCCAAGCUUGAAAUAAAAUCUUUAUUGAAAGUAAUUCUACAUUCAUGCCAGUCAGAUACAUUGUAGGAUUAGACCAGCUAUCCCAGGGGAAAACGACGGUAUUUGCACCAGGCAGAGUUGAUUAUUUGGACCUCCUGUCAGUUCUUAACUUCCUGACAAUGGCUGAAGCGUUCACGGCUGCUACAACUCUGUUUUCAUCUGUAUUUUGAGAGAAAGUUAAUACACGUUACCUUAACUACGCUAAAUGUACUGGAAAAUAACCCAGUCAUAAGAUACACCCCGCCUAUCAAGUGAUAUCUGUAUGUAGAGAGCAUUUAGCUGUGCAUUUUAAGGAAACAAAUACAAGCAGCAAAUGACUGAAAGAUAUUGUCAUUAUUUCUUCUGCUUGAACUUUUAAAUUUUCCUGGCAAAGCCUCCUGUGUACUGUCUUAAAACCAAUGUGUAUACAUAAUCAUGGAGCCAAGUAAAUGGCUUUCAUUGUAAAUUCCCUUCAAAUGGCAGGGUGGCCUUUUUUAUUAUUAUUAUUAGAAUAAUUCGGUUAUCAAUGUUAUUUGGUGUCAAAAAGGAAGACUCAAGUGUGCCAGGUGCCAUUUGGUUCCACUUAGAGAAGCAACAACAGCUUAGGACGUCACUUUUGAAAGAGUCAUAGAAUCGUUUUUUGGAUGUAAUUAACACUGUAACUAAAGUAGAGAGAAAAAGCCAUAAGUUCUAAUUUAGAUUUAUAUUUUGAUUCAUUGUGAAGACAACACAUUGUUGUAGUUCUAGAGGAAAGGAAAAAACAUGACCCCCAUAGAUGCUUGAGAAUAACCACAUUCAUUUAAAAAUUCAGAACUUAAUUUUAUGUCUUAUCUUUUGGUUGCAUAUUCUAAAAUUCAUUGCUCUCACGUCACCGAAGGAUGGAAGGAAGAAGGUGAAGUGGCCCAUGACUCAAGUUUAAAGACAGAAAUGAUAGUCUAGUCUUGUGUUGCAGAAAAUGACAACAUACUCCCCUAGACAAAGCAGUCUCAAGGUAAAAAGAAUACAUGUUCUGAGAACCUUAUUUCCUUCCUGAGAAAUGCG